GUGGGGGCUAAUUUUAUUUUUAAAUUUUCUCGCUGUUUGUGGACCAAAUCGAAAAAUCUAAAACGCUUAAAUGUUUAGGCCUAGUACUCACAUCGACGAAAACCGCGAGCUAACCAUAGGAGUGAGCGAGAGGCAAAUUCGCGGCUUACGCUUUUCGUGGGGCCUGUUUUCAGGGCGGUACUCAGAUGAGCUAAGGAAUUACCAGAAAAAAUACUAGACUAAGAGAGUGAAUUCUAUGAACGCCGUUAGUCGUGGCCCAAAGAAAAGGACAUUUAAUCUUUGGCGGUGUUCGAGGAGAAGCGGUGUGGAAACAAAAAAAUUAUAAUGGUAGGAAAACCCCAAAAACGCUUGCAGGAUGUCACUACAGAUGAAAUAAGACGAAUAAUCCAAGCUGUUGCCCAUUAUUGUGAGACUUCGCCAACAGGAACCAAUACCACAACUGGGCAAAUUCGCAGAAUAAAUGAAGUGCUGGAGAGAUCCACUAGAGCACUUGGCUCCCUACAUGGACAUUCUGCGGGGAGUGUCCUCGCAAAGUUACUCAUCUAAGUACCGCCCUGAAAAAUAGACCCGACCAAAAGCGUUAGCCGCGUAUUUGCCUCUCGCUCACUCCUAUGAUUGGCUCGCGGUUUUUGUCGAGGUGAGUACUAGGCUUUAAAACUAUAUAUAAAGUAAAAUAAUGCUAGAAUGUGUAAUCAUUUCAGAGGGCAAUGAUAUCUUCAUUGCUAUUUGGAAAUGACUCAAGGAUAAGAGUUCCAUGAAUUGAUAAUAGAAUAAUAACUAUUGGGGGCCAACAAUGAUGCCGUGAGAAUCUCCAUGAACCCUUUUAAGAAGAUAUAACUUAUAACACAUUUCUUGCUAACACAUUUAAAGAAAUUAUUCUGACCAAUUACAUAUGAGUUCAAAUGGCAAGUGCAGAAAAUUUCAAAACGAGCAGAAAUGAUUUUUCGGUGAAAAAGUGGACAGGGCUAAUAUUUCCAUUAAGGCAAGCGUAGUGAAAAUUGAGCAGGAACUAUUGCGGGCCAACAGUAACGCAGCGAGAAACAACAAGAAACAAGCUAGAACCCGUAAACUCCUUUCUCGCAUACGGUUCUUUAAACAUUUUUUAUACCGAAAAGUAUGUAACAGGCAGAAGGCAGCGUU